rnacentral:tRNA from 1 species
GCCCAGGUGGCUCAGUGGUUAAGAGCUUAGGCUGCUAACCAAAAGGCUGGCAGUUCAAAUCUACCGGCU